CUUCUGAAAGAAAAGGGCAGUACUGAAAAUGUAUGGAACGGACUUGUCUCGUUGCCAGCCUCACCAACAGAACUCACCUCUACAGUUUCAGCUGUUUCCCUUGCAGCCCCUCCUGCCAACCCCUCUACCCUCCCUGGCAAAGCCUUCAUCAGAAAUCACAGGAUUGUUCUAGAGACUCGCCUGGGACUCUUGCAGCCCAUUCUCUCGCAUCUGGAGUAUCACAAAGCUCUGAAUGCUGAGGAGAGGGAGGAGGUGGUCAGCAAAUCCAUGAAGACCCAACAGAACCAAGCCCUGCUGGACAUGGUGGUAAGGAAGGGGGCUCGCGCCCAGGAACACUUCUACCAGGUCCUGAAGGAAGUAGAUCCCUACCUGGUCGAAGACCUGGAAGAGCAGACAGUCUGAGACAGGUGCCAUGGAUACCACCUCACAACCUUUAGAAGAUAUCAAAACAUUUAUCAGCGACUGAGAGCAGUACUUUGAGGAGGAGCCAUCCUGACCAGAGGUGGUUGGUGUGUAAUGUGAUUGGACCCCAUUCUCACCAGCACUCCCAUCAGUCUG